rnacentral:rRNA from 1 species
GAUGAACGCUGGCGGCGUGCCUAAUACAUGCAAGUCGAGCGAACAGAUAAGGAGCUUGCUCCUUUGACGUUAGCGGCGGACGGGUGAGUAACACGUGGGUAACCUACCUAUAAGACUGGAAUAACUCCGGGAAACCGGGGCUAAUGCCGGAUAACAUUUAGAACCGCAUGGUUCUAAAGUGAAAGAUGGUUUUGCUAUCACUUAUAGAUGGACCCGCGCCGUAUUAGCUAGUUGGUAAGGUAACGGCUUACCAAGGCAACGAUACGUAGCCGACCUGAGAGGGUGAUCGGCCACACUGGAACUUAGACACGGUCCAGACUCCUACGGGAGGCAGCAGUAGGGAAUCUUCCGCAAUGGGCGAAAGCCUGACGGAGCAACGCCGCGUGAGUGAUGAAGGUCUUCGGAUCGUAAAACUCUGUUAUUAGGGAAGAACAAAUGUGUAAGUAACUGUGCACGUCUUGACGGUACCUAAUCAGAAAGCCACGGCUAACUACGUG